rnacentral:misc_RNA from 1 species
AAAAAAAUAAAUAAAUAAAUAAAUAAUCUGAACAAAAGGCAGAUGAAAAGUCGUGCAUGUGAUUUUCUUUAACAUCAACCUUCCUAUGGUACAAUUUUCCCCCCUUAAAUUUCUGUAGUGCGAAAUAAAUCAAGCAGCGGAAACAUUAUAGUUAUUGCCAAAAAAGCGACAUAUAGUUUAAUGCUUUGUUAGAUUUUCGAGAUGGGGUAGGCUGCAACAUUGCUAUUAAUUAUUUUUAACUUCAACUUGAAUGAUUUUAUCUGUGAAGAGUUAGAGGUCACUUUGUUUCUUCUACUUCCCGUAGCUGAUAAGACAAAGCAGUGAAGAAAGAAGAAUUAUUGAAGUGAUGAAUGACUUGGAUAAGGAGGAUAACAAUUGAUCUAAAAGUCCCAACAGUCACAAAAUUCUAACAGCCAUCCAAAUUGAGGCAGCAAGCACGCUUUCAAGCUUUAUGUCAUUUUAUAGGUCAAGUAGUCAAAAGAGAUUUUUGGUUAAAUUAGAAAUUAGUUCAGGUUUUUAUUUCAUGAGAUUUGAGAUACGUUUUAACUAGAGGCAGAUUCAAACUUUGAGAAUUUUUUUUGUAAAGAUCUGAAUAAUUUCUCACAAGAACUUAUAAACAACCUGUUUAGCCAAAGGUCUCUUUGAAUUAACAAGUUUAUCUAUUAAAUCAGUACUGAUAACCACAAUUGUAAUGUGAAUUUUAGUUAAAAUAAUUCAAACUUAACAGCUUAUCUAAAAAACACAAAUUCCAUAAAUAUACAUAUAUACAUAUUUAUGUGGAUUUACUAAUGAAUUCCAUGAAGUUUUAUGGAAUAUAUAUAUAUAAUUUGGAAUUCUAUGUAUUUAAUUCAAUGGAUUUACAUGAUAUUUAAGAAAAUUUUUAUGAAAAUUGGUAGAAUUUGCAAAUGAAUCCCAAAUUUAGGAUGGAGUUUUGAAAAUUUCCCUAUGACUUCAUAAUUUAAAAUGAACUAUAUGCAAUAAAAUGUGAAAUACUUGAUUAUUCAUUUACAAGUGAGUUCUAUAUGAAAUUCAUUUGCAAAUGAAAAGAAUUCCAUAUUCUUUUGGUUCCAAACAAAAUAUAAAUCUAAAACUUUCUUGUAUAUUUCUUUCAUUUUAUUAAACCAUUUCAUACAAUGCAAUAAGCAAAUUGAAGUUUAAUGUAUGGGCACUUGGCAGUUAAAACCCAAAAUAAUUUUGUUAAACAAAAAGAAAAAGUUGAAAGAAAUUAUAGUUUAAGGUUCAAGUUAACAUUUUAAGGAGUAACAUUGUAAUCAUAUUAGAGUGUAACUAAAAUCUAAAAUUCCUAUUUAGGCUCAGAUUUUUAUUUAGUAAGGAUUCCCAUUUGGGAGUAACUUGGUCCCCAAGGAUAAGUUACUCUAUAAUAUAGAGAUUAAUAUUAAGGAUUUGAUGGCCUUAUCCCUAUCGCAACAUAAGGAAGGGUAAGAGGUAUUUUCCAGGGUAAUGACAUGACAGUGGGUUUCUGUUCCACUUUAAAGGAUGACUAAGCAAUUCCCUCUAUCAAGAUUAAGCCUUAAAGUGCAAAUUACAAAACUUGAAAUGAUGACGCAUUUAAUAAUAAGAUUUUAACAUAUAGGUUUUAAUCUAGACA